CUCCAGCUGUGCCUCCCUCCAAACCCUCAGUCCUGGGGCAGGUUCCCUCCAGCUGUGCCCCCCUCCAUACCCCCAGCCCUGGGGCUGGUUCCCUCCAGCUGUGCCCCCCUCCAUACCCCCAGCCCUGGGGCUGGUUCCCUCCAGCUGUGCCCCCCUCCAUACCCCCAGCCCUGGGGCUGGUUCCCUCCAGCUGUGCCUCCCUCCAAACCCUCAGUCCUGAGGCAGGUUCCCUCCAGCUGUGCCCCCCUCCAUACCCCCAGCCCUGGGGCUGGUUCCCUCCAGCUGUGCCUCCCUCCGAACCCUCAGUCCUGGGGCAGGUUGCUUCCAGCUAUGCUGCUUUCCGAGCCCUCAACCCUGAGGCAGGUUCCCUCCAGUUGUGCUCCCCUCCGAACCCCCAGCCCUGGGGCUUGUUCCCUCCAACUGUGCCCCGCUCCGAACCCUCAGUCCUGGGGCAGGUUCCCUCCAGUUGUGCUCCCCUCCGAGCACCCAGCCCUGGGACUGGUUCCCUCCAGCUGUGCUCCUCUCCGAACCCCCAGCCCUGGGGCUGGUUCCCUCCAGCUGUGCUCCCCUCCGAGCCCCCAGCCCUGGGACUGGUUCCCUCCAGCUGUGCUCCUCUCCGAACCCCCAGCCCUGGGGCUGGUUCCCUCCAGCUGUGCUCCCCUCCGAGCCCCCAGCCCUGGGACUGGUUCCCUCCAGCUGUGCUCCUCUCCGAACCCCCAGCCCUGGGGCUGGUUCCCUCCAGCUGUGCUCCCCUCCGAGCCCCCAGCCCUGGGACUGGUUCCCUCCAGCUGUGCUCCUCUCCGAACCCCCAGCCCUGGGGCUGGUUCCCUCCA